rnacentral:rRNA from 1 species
GUAGGGGGCUAGCGUUGUCCGGAAUCAUUGGGCGUAAAGCGCGUGUAGGCGGCCCGGUAAGUCCGCUGUGAAAGUCGGGGGCUCAACCCUCGAAAGCCGGUGGAUACUGUCGGGCUAGAGUACGGAAGAGGCGAGUGGAAUUCCUGGUGUAGCGGUGAAAUGCGCAGAUAUCAGGAGGAACACCGAUUGCGAAGGCAGCUCGCUGGGACGUCACUGACGCUGAGACGCGAAAGCGUGGGGAGCAAACAGGAUUAGAUACCCUGGUAGUCCACGCUGUAAACGAUGGGCACUAGGUGUGGGGGGUGUCGACUCCCUCCGUGCCGAAGCUAACGCAUUAAGUGCCCCGCCUGGGGAGUACGGCCGCAAGGCUAAA